UUCCUUUAGAAUAUAUUAAAGGUAUCGCCUGCCCAGUGUAUUGUAUAAUAAAUGGCUGCGGUAUCCUAACUGCACUAAGGUAGCAUAAUUAAUUGUCUUCUAAUUGGUGACUUGAUUGAAAGGCGGAAUGAGAAAAAGUCUUUUUUAUGUUUAAUAAGAAUUUAUAUUUUAAGGUUAAAAUACCUAAUAUAAAAAGAAAGACGAGAAGACCCUGUUGAGUUUAUCGGUUAAAAAUAACUGUUAAAUGGGAAAUUUGGUUUUUUUUUAAAAUUUCAAUGAUCCUGGGGUUUUUAUAAUUCCCGGAAAAAGGAUAAAGUUACCACAGGGAUAACAGGACUAUAUUUAUUGAGAGUUCUAAUCGAAAUAAAUGAUUGUUACCUCGAUGUUGAAUCGAAGUUUCUUCGUAAUGCAUCAAUUACAGAAGUAGGUCUGUUCGACCUCUAAGACUUC
rnacentral:rRNA from 1 species